rnacentral:rRNA from 1 species
AUUGAACGCUGGCGGCAGGCCUAACACAUGCAAGUCGAGCGAGCGGCGGACGGGUGAGUAAUGUAUGGGGACUGCCCGAUAGCGGGGGAUAACUACUGGAAACGGUGGCUAAUCCCGCAUACUAUCGGAUAACCCAGAUGGGAGUAGCUAGUAGGUGGGGUAAAGGCUCACCUAGGCGACGAUCUGUAGCUGGUCUGCGAGGAUGAUCAGCAACACUGGGACUGAAAGACGGCCAAGACUCCGGCGGAGGCAGCAGUGGGGAAUAUUGCACGAGGGGAGCAAGCCUGAAGCAACCAUGCCGCGUGUAUGAAGAAGGCCGUAGGGUAGUAAAGGACUUUCAGCGGGGAGGCGUUACCCGCAGAAGAAGCACCGGCUAACUCCGUGCCAGCCGCGGUAAUUC